rnacentral:rRNA from 1 species
UACGGGGGGGGCAAGCGUUGUUCGGAAUUACUGGGCGUAAAGGGCUCGUAGGCGGCCAACUAAGUCAGACGUGAAAUCCCUCGGCUUAACCGGGGAACUGCGUCUGAUUACUGGAUGGCUUGAGAUUGGGAGAGGGAUGCGGAAUUCCAGGUGUAGCGGUGAAAAUGCGUAGAUAUCUGGAGGAACACCGGCGGCGAAGGUCGGCGCUCU